CACGUAUGCAAUCCGCCCUCAACUGGGGGAUAGCUCCCGGAAACGGGAAUUAAUACCCCAUAACAUGCCAGCGAGGCAUCUUGCUGGCAUUAAAGCUACGGCGGUUGAGGAUGAGCAUGCGUCUGAUUAGCUAGUUGGUGAGGUAACGGCUCACCAAGGCGAUGAUCAGUAGGGGAACUGAGAGGUUGAUCCCCCACACUGGCACUGAGACACGGGCCAAACUCCUACGGGAGGCAGCAGUAGGGAAUAUUGGACAAUGGGUGCGAGCCUGAUCCAGCCAUGCCGCGUGCAGGAAGAAGGCCUUCUGGGUUGUAAACUGCAUUUAUCUGGGAAUAAAAAACCCGUGCGCGGGGAACUGAAGGUACCAGAUGAAUGAGCCACGGCUAACUACGUGCCAGCAGCCGCGGUAAUACGUAGGUGGCGAGCGUUGUCCGGAUUCAUUGGGUUUAAAGGGUGCGUAGGCGGCUGAUUAAGUCAGUGCUGAAAGCCCCCGGCUUAACCGGGGAGGUGGCAUUGAUACUGGUCGGCUUGAGUGCUGUCGAGGCAGGCGGAAUUUGACGGUGUAGCGGUGAAAUGCUUAGAUAUCGUCAGGAACACCGAUAGUGAAGACAGCUUGCCAGAGAGCAACUGACGCUGAGGCACGAAAGUGUGGGGAGCAAACAGGAUUAGAUACCC
rnacentral:rRNA from 1 species